rnacentral:rRNA from 1 species
AAGGCCUUCGGGUUGUAAAGCACUUUAAGCAGGGAGAAAAAGUUAUAGGUUAAUACCCUACGACCUUGAUGUUACCUGCAGAAUAAGCACCGGCUAAUUCCGUGCCAGCAGCCGCGGUAAUACGGAAGGUGCAAGCGUUAAUCGGAAUUACUGGGCGUAAAGCGCGCGUAGGUGGUUUGUUAAGUUGGAUGUGAAAGCCCUGGGCUCAACCUAGGAACUGCAUCCAAAACUAACUCACUAGAGUACGAUAGAGGGAGGUAGAAUUCAUAGUGUAGCGGUGGAAUGCGUAGAUAUUAUGAAGAAUACCAGUGGCGAAGGCGGCCUCCUGGAUCUGUACUGACACUGAGGUGCGAAAGCGUGUGUAGCGAACAGGAUUAGAUACCCCUGGUAGUCCACGCCGUAAACGAUGACAACUAGCUGUUGGGAGACUAUGUCUUUCAGUG